AGCGAACGCUGGCGGCAGGCCUAACACAUGCAAGUCGAACGGACCCUUCGGGGUUAGUGGCAGACGGGUGAGUAACACGUGGGAACGUGCCUUUAGGUUCGGAAUAGCUCCUGGAAACGGGUGGUAAUGCCGAAUGUGCCCUUCGGGGGAAAGAUUUAUCGCCUUUAGAGCGGCCCGCGUCUGAUUAGCUAGUUGGUGGUGUAACGGACCACCAAGGCGACGAUCAGUAGCUGGUCUGAGAGGAUGAUCAGCCACAUUGUGACUGAGACACGGCCCAAACUCCUACGGGAGGCAGCAGUGGGGAAUCUUGCGCAAUGGGCGAAAGCCUGACGCAGCCAUGCCGCGUGAAUGAUGAAGGUCUUAGGAUUGUAAAAUUCUUUCACCGGGGACGAUAAUGACGGUACCCGGAGAAGAAGCCCCGGCUAACUUCGUGCCAGCCGCCGCAGUAAGAC
rnacentral:rRNA from 1 species